GCGGCCUGGCAGAGGAGGGCCGGCAGCCUGGGCAGAGGAGGGGCCGGCGGCCUGGGCAGAGGAGGGGCCGGCUCCCUGCAUCGCCAGCGCUCGCACGACGGGAGAGGGAGGGGGAUCCCGUGCCCGCAUCGCCAGCGCUCGCACGACGGGAAAGGGAGGGGGAUCCCGUGCCCGCAUCGCCGGCGCUCGCACGACGAGUCCGAGCCACCCCUCGCUCGCCAGCGUUGACCGAGCCGUUGGCUCCCUGCAUCGCCGCUGGCUCCCUGCAUCACUGCUGCUCCACCUGAUGCUACACAUGGGCGCCGAGAAGAGGAGGACGAGCGUAGAGGAGCCAGAUCGAGCUCGGCCUGCUGCAGGGCUUCGGCUCCGGGUACUCGCCGGAGACGAGGUUGGGGCCGUCGCUGUGGUGGCCCACCGGUCACCCUAGCGGUGGGAAUGGAACGAGGGAGGCACCCUCGAGUCCAUGGACAUCUUGGAUGCCACGGGGAAGGCUGCCGGCGACGAGGGAGACGGCUGCAAUGCGGCGAAGCUCCCCUGUUUCUUGUUCUCUGAACCUCUGUGCACUACUGAAUCUCACCUAAAGCUUAUCUUGCAGAGGGGGAAAGAAGGAGGGGAAUAUACACGUCCUAAUUUACACGUUCCACUGAAAAACUAGGACGUGUAUAAUUUAACAACGUGUAUAUGGACGUGUAUAUGAAGAUAUACACGUUCAAAUUUACACCAUCCACUAGAGAUGCUCUAAGACUCAGAAUUUGCUUGUAAACAUUGUUAAUCUUUUUUCAAUCUGUAUAUGAACGUGGAAGUGUUCCUGCUACUGUGUCUAAACGAACAUAAUAGAAAUCGAAAGUACUUUACUACGGAUCCAAAUAUCCUGAUUCACACAUUAGACGUGAUGAUUGGCUCUGCUGACUUGUAAAUCGUACAAGUCGUACAGGUACUGUAGUACGUGUAGUAUUGUUCAAUAGAAAUUCAGCCGGUUCUUGUGCAGUCCCAUACUAGUACUUUUUCUUCUUCUUGAACAUGCAUAUAAAUGCGCAUAAUGUUGACACUGGCAAAUAGAAGCAAUUAUGUAGUGAGCAAAUGAAAUACAAAAUGUUUCAUGCUUUAACAUGUGGAAUCAUUAGUCUUGGUCACCAUUUUUAUGACAUUCUGGAGCUUUAGUCUCGGCAAAGAUC
rnacentral:lncRNA from 1 species